AAUAUACUCCCUCCGUCCCAUAUUAAGUGACUCAAAUCUGUCUAAAUAUCAACAUAUCUAUAUACUAAAAUAUGUCUAGGUACAUGUAAUAUUUCGGCACUUAAUAUGGGACGGAGGGAGUAGACG
rfam:Brachypodium distachyon strain Bd21 chromosome 4, whole genome shotgun sequence.